rnacentral:snRNA from 1 species
AUACUCCGGUUUCUCUUCAGAUCGUAUAAAUCUUUCACCUUUUACUAAAGAUUUCUGUGGAGAGGAACAACUCUGAAUUUUGACUCUAAUGUGGGACAUAACAAUGCCUCUAUU